rnacentral:rRNA from 1 species
CGGCGGACGGGUGAGUAACGCGUGGGUAACCUGCCUCAUACAGGGGGAUAACAGUUGGAAACGGCCGCUAAUACCGCAUAAGCGCACAGUACCGCAUGGUACCGUGUGAAAAACUCCGGUGGUAUGAGAUGGACCCGCGUCUGAUUAGCUAGUUGGUGGGGUAACGGCCUACCAAGGCGACGAUCAGUAGCCGACCUGAGAGGGUGACCGGCCACAUUGGGACUGAGACACGGCCCAA